rnacentral:rRNA from 1 species
GACGACGCUGGCGGCGUGGAUUAGGCAUGCAAGUCGAACGGUAUCAUCCUUUCGGGGGUGAGAGAGUGGCGAACUGGUGAGUAACACGUAGGUUAUCUACCCUCAAGACGGGGACAACCCAGGGAAACUUGGGCUAAUACCGGAUGUGAGCAACUUUUAGUUGUUUGAAAGGUGGCGUAAGCUGUCGCUUGGGGAUGAGCCUGCGUCCUAUUAGUUAGUUGGUGAGGUAACGGCUCACCUAGGCAAUGAUAGGUAGGCGGCCUUAACGGGUGGUCGCCCACACUGGGAUUGAGAUACGGCCCAGACUCCUACGGGAGGCAGCAGUCGAGAAUAGUCUACAAUGGUCGGAAGACUGAUAGUGCGACGCCGCGUGAACGAUGAAUCCCUUCGGGGUGUAAAGUUCUUUUAUAUGUGAGCAGUGCUUCUUAUAUUAACAGUAUGGGGAGAGAGAUAUUAGCAUAUGAAUAAGCCAACGGCUAACUCCGUG